GCUUGUCUCAAAGAUUAAGCCAUGCAUGUCUAAGUAUAAGCAUUAUACAGUGAAACUGCGAAUGGCUCAUUAUAUCAGUUAUAGUUUAUUUGAUAGUCCCUGCUAUUUGGAUAACCGUAGUAAUUCUAGAGCUAAUACAUGCACCAAGCAGCCCUCACGGGUUGUGUAUUUAUUAGAUACAAUCGACGCCGUAAGGCUUUUGAUGAAUCAUAAUAACUGAACUAAGCGCAUGCUUUGGCGGCGCUGUUUCAUUCAAGUUUCUGCCCUAUCAACUUUCGAUGGUAAGGUAUUGGCUUACCAUGGUUACAACGGGUAACGGGGAAUUAGGGUUCGAUUCCGGAGAGGGGGCCUGAGAAAUGGCCACCACUUCCAAGGAAGGCAGCAGG
rnacentral:rRNA from 1 species